rnacentral:lncRNA from 1 species
GUCACACCAGGUCAUGGUCACGGUGAAGUCAUUCCUUGUACAAGGUUGCAAUCUGGAAAGGUUAUGUGUCACACCAGGUCAUGGUCACGGUGAAGUCAUUCCUUGUACAAGGUUGCAAUCUGGAAAGGUUCUGUGUCACACCAGGUCAUGGUCACGGUGAAGUCAUUCCUUGUACAAGGUUGCAAUCUGGAAAGGUUAUGUGUCACACCAGGUCAAGGUCACGGUGAAGUCAUUCCAAAAGGGUGUUUGCCAUUUUCAUUGCUUUGCCUAUACAAACUACUGCUCAUGUUUUGGUUUUAUAGUUUUGAACUCUUGUGUAUGAUAAGUGCCAAAAAUCUUGCAAAAGUCUGCAUGACCUACUUUCAUUAUGAAGCAAUGUCAUUCAGUCUCCAAAUUUUGCUAGCCAGUCGGGCUAGCUAUGCCUGUAAGUUACUUGGCCACAAAAUAAUUUACUACCCCAAAAUUUGAAUGAAGAAAGUAAGCAAAAGAUUGCAAAAAUAGAUGAGAAUAAGAUAUUGUCAGCAUGCCAUGGGUUUCAUCAUUAAGCUGCUAAUAUGAUGAACAUUUUUAUCAGGCCAUAAUCUUGGAUGAUUUAAGAAAGUGUUUUAACUUAUGUCAGAGGGUAAUGCAGAUACAAAAUGACCACAUGAAAAUUCACUAGCCAGUGACUGGAGACUUACUGGCCUGACUUGAUCUUUACUAACCACGGGCAAGCGGGCCAGUGGCUCUUUCACACACCGAUUUCAUUGUGAAACCAUGUGAUGUUUGGCCAUAUAGCCUGCCACUGCCUUAUGACCCAGGAAAUCAUUUUGGAAGGUCAAGGUCAUCCUCCAAGUUAAGGCUUUACUUUGUUGACUGAAAAAUGAUUUCCUGUAAGUCAUAUUUCAUGCUCAAGAGUGAUCUCUCUGUAGGUCUGUCUCUGUGAAGGUCAUGGGCAAAGUGUGCUUGACCUUUAUGCUUAAAGAUCCACUUAAGCCUGAUGAAUGUAGUGGUUGCAUCGUUAGUAUGGAAGUACAUGUGGCCCUCCUCCACAGCAUGUACUGUCUAACUCUCUCAGAUCCACUUGGACAGAGAAGCUGAAAGUCCCUCUGAUCACAGUUCCUGUAUAUGACUAUUUGGAGCUGUAUUCAGAAAGACAUUCAUGGUGACUGAUCUAGUCAAAAUGUCCUGUGAUUCUCUCAAAUUAUGUCAAAAUACAGUUUGGGGUAUGUUAACACCUCUAACACUGCCAGGCCGAGGAUGUGCACCUUUGACAUGUCUUCUCCUGGUGUUGACAUAAAUUAUUUUGAUUUAAAUUUUGAAUUUCUUAUUAAAACUUGAAACAGUUGUAGGGCAUUUUUCCAGUCAGAUAAGAUCCAUUAUGUUAAGCAAUGGAAAUAUAGUGCAUUACAAAGAUAGUCUAAAGUAGUACAUUCAUGUUCCUAAACAUUCCACAUUUAUGACUAUAUCCUUUACUUGUUUAUAUAUAGUUAUGUUUGCAGCUAAGACUGUUUAGGCAAGAGUCAAGGUCAUUAAACCAGAAACGGGACUUUGUGUGACAAAUUUGCUGCAUGUAACUUUCUUACUUGUGUUACAUGGCAUUUUCUGUUUCAAAUUAUUUCUGCUUUGGGUAUGCAUGUCAAUGAAAAAUAUGUGCUUGCUAGAUGUGCUUUGUUUUUGUUUGUUUGUUGUUUAACACGGAUCAUCAGAAGCACAAUGUUGAUGUAUGAAUGAUAAGAUAUGGAAGGGCCUGUUUCUGUUGUUUUUUUCAAAUAACCUUGACGGCUGAUAUGGACAAUGGGAUAUUUGUGACAAAUUCUUGUCAGACCUAAUGUUGGUUUUGAAAACGUACUGACUCACUCACUCACUUGUCCAUUGUUGAGAGGGACGGUGGGGUAGCCCAGUGGUUGAAGCGUUCGCUCAUCACCACGAUGGCCCAACUUAGAUUCCCCACUUGGGUAAAAUGUGUGAAGCCCAUUUCUAAUGUCCCCUGCCGUGAUGUUGCUGGAAUAUUGCAAUGUAAAAGCGACGUAAAACCAGACUCGCUCACUCACUCGCUCACCCAUCAAGUUUCAGAGUGAGCUGGCCCUGAUGCCAUCCAGGACGGUGUCCUCUCACUCACAGCAAUGUCUUUGUACAUCCUUCAAGACAAAUAUCGGUGCAGUCAGUGUCAUGUAAGGUUACAGGAAUAGAGAGAUUGUGUUUGAAGUAGUUACGGUUGAUUUUUGUGAUGAAAAUAAAGUUAGUUUUGUUUUUCAA